GUGCCAGCAGCCGCGGUAAUACGAAGGGGGCAAGCGUUGUUCGGAUUUACUGGGCGUAAAGCGUACGUAGGCGGAUCAUUAAGUCAGGGGUGAAAUCCCGGGGCUCAACCUCGGAACUGCCUUUGAUACUGGUGAUCUUGAGUCCGGGAGAGGUGAGUGGAACUCCUAGUGUAGAGGUGAAAUUCGUAGAUAUUAGGAAGAACACCAGUGGCGAAGGCGGCUCACUGGCCCGGAACUGACGCUGAGGUACGAAAGCGUGGGGAGCAAACAGGAUUAGAAACCCGCGUAGUCC
rnacentral:rRNA from 1 species